GGAUGUGAGGGCGAUCUGGCUGCGACAUCUGUCACCCCAUUGAUCGCCAGGGUUGAUUCGGCUGAUCUGGCUGGCUAGGCGGGUGUCCCCUUCCUCCCUCACCGCUCCAUGCGCGUCCCUCCCGAAGCUGCGCGCUCGGCCGAAGAGGACGACCUUCCCCGCUAGAGGAGAGAACCGUUCUUCCUCCGUCCAGGGUAUACGAGUAGCUGCGCUCUCCUGCUAGAACCUCCAAACAAGCUCUCAUAAAAUCUUUUUUUCCACUCUAUCACUAUGGCUAUGAACAGUGCUGAGCACAGAGUAAGUGUUCAAUAAAUACUUUUAAAAUGAAUGAAAAACAUCCUUAAAA
rnacentral:snRNA from 1 species